GGACCAUAAUUUCCAGUC
rnacentral:snRNA from 1 species